UGAGGGGAUUUAUAUUGACUGUACUCCAUUAGAACUUCACUAAGCCAACUCCAGUACUGAAACAUCAGCCGAAAGCCGUUAAAGGAAAUAACAAUGAAAACCCUUUGUCUUGUCGCUGGGAUCUGCCUUCUUCUGGCCGUUACGCUUUUACAGGCACAAGGGCUAAGCCGAGAAUACGAAGAGGAGAUCCGAGAAGGACUGGAAGCCGCAAUGAGGUUCCCAAAAUCGCCGUUUGACGCACAAGCCAUGAUGCGGCCAGCAAAGAAAAGCGACCUUCCUCCCAGAUUCGGGGGAUACGGCCGACGAUAAAAACAAUAAUGAACAAGGCUAGGUAUUACUAAAAAAAAUUACAGGAAUACCUCAGAAGGGAAAUAAAUAAAAAAUUAAAUUAAAAAUGAAAAUAACAAUUUAGCUUGGUAUGUACAGAGGAGGUUGUUAAUGAGUGGCGAAAUUUAUCUAUGCAGUGGACGACAAUGCCUUUGUUUUAGCAAAAAAGGAUGUAAAUGUGCUGCUUGUAUGUUAUUUGAUUCCAAAUUAAAUGAUUUUAGAUACAAGAA